rnacentral:piRNA from 1 species
UUAUCUUUGCUUUGGUCUUGUUUAGG